rnacentral:rRNA from 1 species
ACGCUCGACACCUACGGGAGACAGCAGUAGGGAAUCUUCCACAAUGGACGCAAGUCUGAUGGAGCAACGCCGCGUGAGUGAAGAAGGUUUUCGGAUCGUAAAGCUCUGUUGUUGGUGAAGAAGGAUAGAGGUAGUAACUGGCCUUUAUUUGACGGUAAUCAACCAGAAAGUCACGGCUAACUACGUGCAGCAGCCGCGGUAAUCUGAGCGGGCUGGCAAGGC